CUUUACCUUAGGAUGAGAAUAGAAAUCGCUGUGCAGAGGCAGCAGGAGGCUCCAUUAGCUAAAGUGGUACCAGGUUAAGAACGGUUUCAGGUUAAGAACAGACCCCUGGAACGAAUUAAGUUCGUAACCAGAGGUACCACUGUACAGCAACAGGAGGCAAGUCUGAAGCAAGAAACAAGAAGAGACAGUUGGUCCCUCUUAAUGGACAUUCUUAACUAACUGAACAGAACUGAACACACACUGAAGGGAGGGGCUGAUUCCAGAGCAAAGCACACAAGCCCCGCCCACCAGAUACCAAGCACUCUACUAUUCAAAUUAGGCCCUAAUGUUUUUCUUACAAUCCCCUUCUCAAUGUGCCUAAUUUGAAUUAAUAUUAAUUUAGCAUGUAAAUUGUCAAAACUUUCUUAUAUAAACAUUCAGCAUUUUUUUCCUGGUUUUGCUUCGAGAUAGAAGGUCUUGUUCCCUUCCCCACUAUUCAGGUCAACUUUACAAGGUUUAAUUUCCAUUACUCUCACCAAACCUUUCUUUGGCAGGUCUGCUAUAAUCCUGAAGUCUCUAUGUCCAAGCCUUUUGUGCCACAGAUGAACACAGGUUGCAUUUGAAUUCUUCUUGACCAUAUUCACUCUUUCUUGACUGGUAUCCAGCACAGAGAUUCCAUUAUUUUCAAAACCUUGUGCAGGCAAAACUGCAUCUUUGAUAUGGCAGCUUUGCACCAGGGGAGCAAUAUCGGCACAUCCUUUGAAGGCAAACUCGAUUAGCAUCAUCUGAAGAAAGAUGACAUUUGGGGAGCAUUAUCACCAGGCAAACUCAGAUCAGACAGGGUUGAGCAGGAUUCAAAGCAAACAACAACAACAGGCUUGGGAAAGGAAUACUCAGAAGAGACCUGUCAAGGCAAGUAGAUAUAGAUAAACAGUACAGAGUUCUCUCCUGAGGGGCAAGCUAGCCACAAAGAGGCAUAGAAGCCAAAUCAUGCUGGAGACCUGGCUCCCUGAAGUGGAUCGUUCUCUGGACUGAAUUUGCUACCA